CCUACGGGAGGCAGCAGUGAGGAAUAUUGGUCAAUGGACGAGAGUCUGAACCAGCCAAGUAGCGUGAAGGAUGACUGCCCUAUGGGUUGUAAACUUCUUUUAUAUGGGAAUAAAAUGUUCCACGUGUGGGAUUUUGUAUGUACCAUAUGAAUAAGGAUCGGCUAACUCCGUGCCAGCAGCCGCGGUAAUACGGAGGAUCCGAGCGUUAUCCGGAUUUAUUGGGUUUAAAGGGAGCGUAGGUGGAUUGUUAAGUCAGUUGUGAAAGUUUGCGGCUCAACCGUAAAAUUGCAGUUGAAACUGGCAGUCUUGAGUACAGUAGAGGUGGGCGGAAUUCGUGGUGUAGCGGUGAAAGGCUGAGAUAUCACGAAGAACUCCGAUUGCGAAGGCAGCUCACUGGACUGCAACUGACACUGAGGCUCGAAAGUGUGGGUAUCAAACAGGAUUAGAUACCCCUGUAGUC
rnacentral:rRNA from 1 species